rnacentral:rRNA from 1 species
GCGAACGCUGGCGGCAGGCUUAACACCUGCCAGUCGAGCGGGCAUCCUUGUGGUGUCAGCGGCAGACGGGUGCGUAACGCGUGGGAACGUGCCCUUCGGUUCGGAAUAACUCAGGGAAACUUGAGCUAAUACCGGAUACGUGCGAGAGCAGAAAGGUUUAUCUGCCGAAGGAUCGGCCCGCGUCUGAUUAGCUAGUUGGUGAGGUUAUGGCUCACCAAGGCGACGAUCAGUAGCUGGUCUGAGAGGAUGAUCAGCCACACUGGGACUGAGACACGGCCCAGACUCCUACGGGAGGCAGCAGUGGGGAAUAUUGGACAAUGGGGGCAACCCUGAUCCAGCCAUGCCGCGUGAGUGAUGACGGCCUUAGGGUUGUAAAGCUCUUUUCUCCGGGACGAUAAUGACGGUACCGGAGGAAUAAGCCCCGGCUAACUUCGUG